UAAGCAAGUCGAGGCCGAAGUCUUU
rnacentral:piRNA from 1 species